rnacentral:rRNA from 1 species
UACGAAGGGUGCAAGCGUUACUCGGAAUUACUGGGCGUAAAGCGUGCGUAGGUGGUUUGUUAAGCCUGCUGUGAAAGCCCCGGGCUCAACCUGGGAAUGGCAGUGGAUACUGGCAAGCUAGAGUGCGGUAGAGGGGUGUGGAAUUCCCGGUGUAGCGGUGAAAUGCGUAGAGAUCGGGAGGAACACCAGUGGCGAAGGCGGCACCCUGGACCAGCACUGACACUGAGGCACGAAAGCGUGGGGAGCAAACAGG